GCCCGCCUAGCUCAAUCGGAUAGAGCGUCAGACUCUUACGAAGUCUGUUGUAGAGCGGAUCAAGGCGGAAUCUGAAGGCUGGGGGUUCGACCCCCCCGGUGGGCU